rnacentral:rRNA from 1 species
UACGAAGGGGGCUAGCGUUGUUCGGAAUCACUGGGCGUAAAGCGCACGUAGGCGGCUUUUUAAGUCAGGGGUGAAAUCCCGAGGCUCAACCUCGGAACUGCCUUUGAUACUGGAGAUCUUGAGUCCGGAAGAGGUAAGUGGAACUGCGAGUGUAGAGGUGAAAUUCGUAGAUAUUCGCAAGAACACCAGUGGCGAAGGCGGCUCACUGGUCCGGUACUGACGCUGAGGUGCGAAAGCGUGGGGAGCAAACAGG